rnacentral:rRNA from 1 species
UACGUAGGGUGCAAGCGUUGUCCGGAAUUAUUGGGCGUAAAGAGCUCGUCGGCGGCUUGUUGCGUCAGCUGUGAAAACCCGCAGCUCAACUGUGGGCUUGCAGCUGAUACGGGCAGGCUUGAGUUCGGUAGGGGAGACUGGAAUUCCUGGUGUAGCGGUGAAAUGCGCAGAUAUCAGGAGGAACACCGGUGGCGAAGGCGGGUCUCUGGGCCGAUACUGACGCUGAGGAGCGAAAGCGUGGGGAGCGAACAGG